rnacentral:tRNA from 1 species
GGGCGCGUAGCUCAGUGGGAGAGCACUACAUUGACAUUGUAGGGGUCGACAGUUCAAUCCUGUCCGUGCCCACCA